rnacentral:rRNA from 1 species
UACGGGGGGGGCAAGCGUCGUUCGGAAUUACUGGGCGUAAAGGGUUCGUAGGUGGCCAAUUAAGUCAGACGUGAAAUCCCUCAGCUCAACUGGGGAACUGCGUCUGAGACUGGAUGGCUUGAGUGCAGGAGAGGAACGCGGAAUUCCAGGUGUAGCGGUGAAAUGCGUAGAUAUCGAGAGGAACACCUGCGGCGAAGGCGGGUUGCUGGGCUGACACUGACGCUGAUGUGCGAAAGCUAGGGGAGCGAACGGG